GUGCGAAAGCAUGGGGAGCAAACAGGAUUAGAUACCCUGGUAAUCCAUGCCGUAAACGAUGUCUACUAGCCGUUGGGGCCUUUGAGGCUUUAGUGGCGCAGCUAACGCGAUAAGUAGACCGCCUGGGGAGUACGGUCGCAAGACUAAAACUCAAAUGAAUUGACGGGGGCCCGCACAAGCGGUGGAGCAUGUGGUUUAAUUCGAUGCAACGCGAAGAACCUUACCUGGCCUUGACAUAGUAAGAACUUUCCAGAGAUGGAUUGGUGCCUUCGGGAACUUACAUACAGGUGCUGCAUGGCUGUCGUCAGCUCGUGUCGUGAGAUGUUGGGUUAAGUCCCGCAACGAGCGCAACCCUUUUCCUUAUUUGCCAGCGAGUAAUGUCGGGAACUUUAAGGAUACUGCCAGUGACAAACUGGAGGAAGGCGGGGACGACGUCAAGUCAUCAUGGGCCUUACGGCCAGGGCUACACACGUGCUACAAUGGUCGGUACAAAGGGUUGCUACCUAGCGAUAGGAUGCUAAUCUCAAAAAGCCGAUCGUAGUCCGGAUUGGAGUCUGCAACUCGACUCCAUGGAGUCGGAAUCGCUAGUAAUCGCGGAUCAGAAUGCCGCGGUGAAUACGUUCCCGGGCCUUGUACACACCGCCCGUCACACCAUGGGAGUUUGUUGCACCAGAAGUAGGUAGUCUAACCGCAAGGAGGACGCUUACCACGGUGUGGCCGAUGACUGGGGUGAAGUCGUAACAAGGUA
rnacentral:rRNA from 1 species